AAGAUCGAGUGUGAAGUAGAAGAGGCAAAACAUAAAAUCAAAGAAAAGGAGUAUGAGGCCGACUAUAAGAAGGAAGAGCAGAAGGAAAAAUUCAAAGAAGAACUAGCCGAGGCUAAGUACAAAGUAGAAGAAAUCAAGGAAAAGAUCGAGUGUGAAGUAGAAGAGGCCAAAGAGAAAAUCAAAGAAAAGGAAUAUGAGGCUGAGUACAAGAAGGAAGAGCACAAGGAAAAACUCAAGAAAGAAGUAGAGGAGGCCAAGUACAAAAUAGAAGAAUUCAAGGAUAAUAUUGACUAUAAAGUAGAGGAGAUUAAGGAGAAAAUUGAGGAAAAAAUUGAAGAAAUCAAGGAAAAGGUCGAGUAUGAAGUAGAAGAGGCCAAAGAGAAACAUAAGGAAAAGGAAUAUGAAUCUAAGCAUAAGAAGGAAGAACGCAAGGAAAAACUUAAGGAAGAAGUAGAGGAGGCAAAGUACAAAAUAGAAGAAUUAAAGGAAAAGAUCGAGCAUAAAAUAGAAGAAGUUAAGGAGAAAAUUGAUGAGAAAGUCGAAGAAAUUGAGCACAAGGUUGAAUGUGAAGUAGAAGAAGCCAAAGAAAAACAUAAGGAAAAAAAGUAUGAAUCCGAGUACAAAAAGGAAGAACGGAAGGAAAAACUCAAAGAAGAAGUAGAGGAGGCAAAGUACAAAAUAGAAGAAUUGAAAGAAAAAGUUGAGUGUGAAGUAGAGGAGGUUAAGAAUAAAAUCGAGGAGAAAGUGAAAGAAAUUGAGGAAAAGGUUGAGUGUGAAAUAGAAGAGGCCAAAGAGAAACACAAGGAAAAAGAGUACG
rnacentral:lncRNA from 1 species